CUCUGUAUGUAUCUGGCAUGUACCCAGUUACUUGUGUGGACAAUGAUGCCAAAUGUCCUAAAUCUACAGCUAAAAGGGACCUCAGAAGCCAUUGAAUCCAAUAUCCUCAUUUUUUCAGACUAAAGAUCUGAAAUGACUUCAAUGGUUUCUCAUAUUGCAUCAUCGCAAAUCCCCUCAUGAUUCAUGUCAUUCUCCCCCGGCAUCAGUUUACCAACAUCCGUACUAAACCAGAAUGGAAACGGGAACUCGAUGCCCUGUCACUAUUGUGAUAUUUGAACCAUCUCCACGCUAUCCACUGGCAGGACCGCCCAGGUAUCCAGUACCAAAGACCUGGAGAAGUCACAGAGAAGCUGGAAUCAUCUGGAAGCCAGAUGCCGGAGCAAGGAGAGUGUCUUUCUUCUGGAUCAUUGAUUGCCUUCCUCCAGCUGCUGAACUUGGAGAUCAUUGCUAAACCCACAAUCCUAUUGUUUCUU